AUCGCCUGUUUAUCAAAAACAUGUCUGUUUGAAGGUUAAGAGAGUCUAAUCUGCCCACUGAUAAAGGAAAUUAAAGGGCCGCGGUAUCUUGACCGUGCUAAGGUAGCAUAAUCAUUAGUCUUUUAAUUGGGGGCUUGAAUGAAUGAUUGGACAAGAGGAAAACUGUCUUAAAAAUAUUAGUUGAAUUUAACUUUUAAGUGAAAAGGCUUAAAUAAGCUAAAGGGACGAUAAGACCCUAUAAAGCUUUAUAUAAAUAAAUAGUUAAAUUUGAAGUUAAACUUAAAAUAUUAAUGCUAAAAAUAUAUUUUAUUGGGGCGAUAAAGAUAUAAAUGUAUGAUUAACUGUUUAAAAAUAAAGACUGGAUAUAAGUUUUAGUAAAAGGAGUGGUCCUUUAUAAAGAUUAAAAGAUUAAGUUACUUUAGGGAUAACAGCGUUAUUUUUUUUGAGAGUUCAUAUCGAAAAAAAAGUUUGCGACCUCGAUGUUGAAUUAAAUUCUCUAUAUAGUGGAGAUGCUAUAAAAGAAGGUCUGUUCGACUUUUAAAUUUUUACGUGCUCUGAGUUC
rnacentral:rRNA from 1 species